GGACGAACGCUGGCGGCACGCCUAACACAUGCAAGUCGAACGGUGUUUGAGAGCUUGCUCUUAAAACAUAGUGGCGGACGGGUGAGUAACACGUGAGCAACCUGCCUCUGAGAGAGGGAUAGCUUCUGGAAACGGAUGGUAAUACCUCAUAACAUAGCUGGACCGCAUGAUCCGGUUAUCAAAGAUUUAUCACUCAGAGAUGGGCUCGCGUCUGAUUAGCUAGUUGGUGAGGUAACGGCCCACCAAGGCGACGAUCAGUAGCCGGACUGAGAGGUUGAACGGCCACAUUGGGACUGAGACACGGCCCAGACUCCUACGGGAGGCAGCAGUGAGGGAUAUUGCACAAUGGAGGAAACUCUGAUGCAGCGAUGCCGCGUGGAGGAAGAAGGUUUUCGGAUUGUAAACUCCUGUUUCGAGGGACGAUAAUGACGGUACCUCGGGAGGAAGCUCCGGCUAACUACGUGCCAGCCGCGGC
rnacentral:rRNA from 1 species